GCCUUCGAGGUGUAGUGAUCAGCACGCUGGGCGCUUAUUCCAGAAGUCCUGGGUUCGAUUCCCGGCGAAAGCG
rnacentral:tRNA from 1 species